rnacentral:rRNA from 1 species
UACGAAGGGGGCUAGCGUUGCUCGGAAUUACUGGGCGUAAAGGGCGCGUAGGCGGCACUGUUAGUCAGGCGUGAAAGUCCUGGGCUCAACCUGGGAACUGCGCUUGAUACGGCAGAGCUAGAGGAUGGAAGAGGCUCGCGGAAUUCCCAGUGUAGAGGUGAAAUUCGUUGAUAUUGGGAAGAACGCCGGUGGCGAAGGCGGCGGGCUGGUCCAUUACUGACGCUGAGGCGCGACAGCGUGGGGAGCAAACAGG